rnacentral:rRNA from 1 species
AGAGUUUGAUCCUGGCUCAGGACGAACGCUGGCGGCGUGCUUAACACAUGCAAGUCGAACGAAAAUACCAAGCUUGCUUGGUUGAUUAGUGGCGAACGGGUGAGUAACACGUGAGUAACCUGCCCCUUACUUUCCUGGAUAACUGCUCGAAAGGGUAGCUAAUACGGGAUAUUCUGACCAUCCUGCAUGGGUUGGUUUGGAAAGGUUGUUUUUCUGGUAAGGGAUGGGCUCGCGGCCUAUCAGCUUGUUGGUGGGGUGAUGGCCUACCAAGGCUUUGACGGGUAGCCGGCCUGAGAGGGUGACCGGUCACAUUGGGACUGAGAUACGGCCCAGACUCCUACGGGAGGCAGCAGUGGGGAAUAUUGCACAAUGGGCGCAAGCCUGAUGCAGCGACGCCGCGUGAGGGAUGAAGGCCUUCGGGUUGUAAACCUCUUUCGUCAGGGAACAAGGCACUGUCUUUUUGGUGGUGUUGAGGGUACCUGGAUAAGAAGCGCCGGCUAACUACGUGCCAGCAGCCGCGGUAAUACGUAGGGCGCAAGCGUUGUCCGGAAUUAUUGGGCGUAAAGAGCUCGUAGGCGGCUGGUCGCGUCUGUCGUGAAAACUUCCGGCUCAACCGGGGGCUUGCGGUGGGUACGGGCCGGCUAGAGUGCGGUAGGGGUAACUGGAACUCCUGGUGUAGCGGUGGAAUGCGCAGAUAUCAGGAAGAACACCGAUGGCGAAGGCAGGUUACUGGGCCGUUACUGACGCUGAGGAGCGAAAGCGUGGGGAGCGAACAGGAUUAGAUACCCUGGUAGUCCACGC